GACUCCAUUUUGCAGCAGACCAUCAUUGAGGCACACCAAUGGGGGUUGGAUUGGUGGCGUGGUGGUGGGAGUAUUUGUAGUAGGAGUGUGUGUAAUAGAUGUGGUUUCUAAUGGAGGGGAUGUGCCAAGAGUGGAGUUGGUGGUGGGAGGAGUUGUAGAAGUGGUGGAGUUUGUAGUAGGAGUGUGUGUAAUAGAUGUGGUUUCUAAUGGAGGGGAUGUGCCAAGAGUGGAGUUGGUGGUGGGAGGAGUUGUAGAUGUGGAAGUGGUGGAGUUUGUA